GACGAACGCUGGCGGCGUGCUUAACACAUGCAAGUCACGGGGGGUAGCAAUACCAACCGGCGAACGGGUGCGUAACACGUGAGCAACCUGCCGAUCUGAGGGGGAUAGCCGGCCCAACGGCCGGGUAAUACCGCAUACGCUUCUUGAGGGACAUCCCUUGGGAGGAAACCUCCGGGGCAGAUCGAGGGGCUCGCGGCCUAUCAGCUAGUUGGUGAGGUAACGGCUCACCAAGGCAUCGACGGGUAGCUGGUCUGAGAGGAUGGCCAGCCACAUUGGGACUGAGAGACGGCCCAGACUCCUACGGGAGGCAGCAGUGGGGAAUCUUGCGCAAUGGCCGAAGGCUGACGCAGCGACGCCGCGUGUGGGAUGAAGCAUUUCGGUGUGUAAACCACUGUUGCCCGGGACGAACAU
rnacentral:rRNA from 1 species